GCCUACUAUAGUCCAAGAUGACUUUCAUGGUCUUUUAUUUGCCGAUCAGCCUUACACUAUACAGUUUCCGCACUUGUCUACAAAGUUCACCUCAGUGACCUUUAAUAAGUCUUUGUUAUUGGCAAGUUAAUUACUUAUAUCCAAGACAUGGAGAUGUGGGUCCAGUAUGAGCAGGAUUUGGGAAAUGGCAGUUGCCAAGAACUCACAUGAAGUUUCAAGGUUUUUCCCUUUAUUUGGAGGAAAAAAAGUUUUUGUCCUUUGUUUGUUGUGCAGAAUUGCAAACCUAGAAAGAAAUCAAGUUGAAAGAAUUUAUAUAAAUGUAUUUGCCCUUCUUUUGACCCUUCUACAUCAUGAAUAUUUGGUGGCUGUUGCUUGGCGACUGUGAGAUCUCUCCAUAGGAUUGACAUGGGCUGGGCCUCUCAAUGACCUUGAUAUGAUUGUUCUUCAGCCAUUCCUUGGUUGCCUUGGCUGUAGGUUCUAGGUCACUAACCUGUUGGAAGACCCAUCCAUGACUGAUUUGAAGGGUCCUGGCUUAAGGAGGGUAGGAAGUUCUCACUCAGGAUUUUCCAUUAAUGGCUCCAUCAACGUGGUGACGUAGCUCUGUGCAGAAAAAUAGCCACAAAGCAUAAUGCUUCCACCUCCAUGUUUGACAGUGGGGAAGCUGUUCUUGGGGUCAUAGGUAGCAAUUCUCUUCCUCCAAACCCAAUGGUUGAGUUGAUGCCAAAGAGCUCAGUUUUGAGCCAAACAUUCCAUUAUGCAGAAUAAACUGAUAAAGCAAACCCUAUUUUUCAGUGUGUGAUUUUCAUUUUUUCAUAAAUCUUAGGACAAUUUAGAUGAUAAAAGUAAUAAAUAUAUGAAAACAGUAUAAUACAGUAAAUAUGUAAAUAUUUGAUGUGAUGAACAAUGCUUAUCUGAUUUAGACCCAACAUGGAAUAUUUUAUGACAGACACACAUCAAGUUGUGUUAUUUAAUGCUCGUAAUUUAGACACAAAUGAUAGAAAUGUUAGGUUUAUAUGUCAAAGAGGCCAUGUGAAAAUUUUAGUGCAAAUACGCAUGCGUGCGCGCCGUGCACAUUAAGCCACCCCACCCCCACGUAUCCGCGCGCCGGUCGGUGGGUGUUGGGCGUCAAUAAAGGUAAUCUGGUUGUCGCGCGUUCUGCAUCUCUGCACGAGCUAAAGAAGUCUCAAAGCUGACUCUGCCACGAGGCUCGACAACUUCUUGCAUCAACUGUGAUCGCUGUGGCCGCCAAAACAUCCAAAUGUAAGGCGGGCUACAAAGAUUUCAGGCCAAAAGAGAACGCCUCACAUGUGAUGAAGUGUCUGUAUUGGUUGGAAAAACCAGCAGCCCUCCAGUGCUUCAGCCGUCCAACCAUCAACCGUUUCAGACAUCCAUCCUCCCACCACUUCAGCCCCACAGCCGUCCACCAGUGUCCCAAGUCCUGACAUUUUACUAUCCUGGGGGGGGUCAUGGCCUCUACACUGGAUUCCAAAAAAGAGACAAAAACCCCCCCGACCUCAACCCCCACUCUUAGUCAGACAUGUUUAUUUUUUUUUAUUUACAAUAAUAAAUAAUAUACUAUGUACAUUUAUUUUGUUUUACUUUUUUAUACUUAGUUUCCUUAUUUCCUAUAAUAUUUAUUAGUAGUUGUUGUUUGUUGAUGUUAGUUCUUUUUAGCCCCUUUUAUGUUAAAAUAGACGUAAAUGAUCCAGAUGCUGAUAUUCUAAUAUAUAGACAGAUUUAUGAAUGAAUUAUUCUCAACAGAAGUUCAACGCUAUUGUGGUAGCAGUUUGACUGUUUUACUGUAAUCUGUCGUGCCUCACCCACUGUCCAUCCCAUAAAAAAGAACAAUUCUACAUCAUUAACCUUUUUUUAUUUUUAUUCAUAUGGCACAUUCAUAAAUACAAAGUUAUAAAUCAUACCCCCCAUUUUUCUGACUUUAUCAAUGAGUUCAAACAAAACAUGAACACAGUAAGAAACUCUGACAAUAAGAAAGCAUUUAAAACAUUCAAUCUGUGCGUCAGUUUCAAUGUUUUUGUGAAAAAUUUCAUAAUAAUCCCCUGGUUUGUUUCUGUCUUGUUGCUUUUUGGAAUUGUUGUUUUGAAUUGUUACAGUCAAUAAAGUUUGAAUAAAAAACAA